UUCCUUAGCAAUAUACGUAUGUCACUCCAGAUAGUUCACCCAAGAUAUUUUUGCUAGACUUCUUGGCUGCACCAGAAAUUUCCCUUGGUCAUUCUUGCUUUACUUCUUUGUUUUCUUCCUUCUUUGUUCUUAUUGGUUGCACCUUUAUUUCUUCUUUGACUUUCUCAAAGAAAGAAGACUCAAGAAACUCUUUUGCUCCCAUUUCCCACGGAUCCAUGCAAAUCAGAAAUUUGCACCUCACUUUUCUCUCUUUUGUCUUAAGGAAAGUGCUAGAAAGCUCUCUUGAGUCUUCCCUCAAGUCCACCGGUUCACACACCAAAAGAAAGCUCAUUUCUUCUUCAUAUUCUCUCAAAGGAACCAGAAAACUCUCUCAAGCUCUCUACCAUUCUUACAUGAGUAGUUCUAUGUCUAUUUUCCCCCACAAGAACCAUAAACUUGGUGUUACCAGUAUCCAAGUCUAAGCUCCUUCGACUUUAGGUUCUCAGUUCCUCUGCUUUCAGGUUUAGGCUUGAUAUUAGCAUGCCGGUCAUGGUCACAAAUCUGGGUACUGGGUUUGGGGCGUGACAUAGGUGAUGAGGUCAUUCACAACAUCCUAGAAGCAAAGACCGCAAAGGAAGUUUGGAAAAAAAAUAGGUCUUUAUAUGAGAAAGAAUAUGACGAACAAGUUGUACGUGAAGAAGUAAUUGUACAGUUUGCAUAUGAAGGAGGGUUCAAAUAUGUUGGAGCAUCUCAACACGUUUAACAUGUUGAACACCCAAUUGUUAAGUUUUGGGGUGAAUUAUGAGGACGAAGAUAAAGCGUUACUCUUAUUAGCGUCACUUCCUACACAUUUUGAUCGUCUAGUGACUACGUUGAUAUACGGGAAAGAGACUGCAGUACUCAAUGAGGUGACUAGUGCUCUCUCGUCACAUGUAAAGAUGAAGCAAGAUGAUGAUGGUUCUUAAGCUUAUGGAUUUAUUGUAAAGUCAAAUUCGAACAAUUAGGGUGGGAGUGAGUCAAGAUCCAAAGAGAACAGAUCUCAGUCUAGAUCAUGUGCAAAGAAAGAUGUAGAGUGCUUUUAUUGUCAUAAGAAAUGACACUACAAGAAUAAGUGUAAAGAGUUGAAAGAGCAUUUAGAGGAGAAGAGGAAUGGGAAGAAGCCCCUAGAACCAGCUAGUGUUGCUGAAGAAAUAUCAGAUGAAAGUGAAGUUGGUGCAGAUUUACUUUCAGCCUCAUCAGUUCAGGGAUCAUUUCACUUUCAAAUUGAGGCUGCUUGGGCCUUCUUUAUCUUUGGAGAUUCACUGAUUGACAAUGGUAACAAUAAUUACUUGCCAACCAAAUUGACUUUGUGCCCAUGGACAGAAGCUGUACAAAAUUUCUGGUUUUAUAAACAUUGUUAAGAUAUAACCAGAUGCUUAUCCUGCACUUGCAGCUGCAUAUCGAUGGUAAACAAGGAAUCAUAAGUUCAUAACUAUUGCAUUUGGUUACAAAAUCCCAGGCUUCUAUUGCCCUUGCAACUAGGGAGGCUUCUGACAUAUUAGGUGGUUAACUUGCAUGGAUUGAAGCAGAAUCAAUGAUAGAAAAUGUGCAGUAGCUGAAGUUGAGAAAGAUAUCAGUCCAAGUUUUAAAAUGGAGCUUUCCUUAGAGAGGAAAAAGAUUUGAUGCUGUGGAGAAAAUUUGCUGAAGAGGCAAGGCAUGAAUUUCGCAUUUCAAAGAGGAAAAAAAAUGUAAAUAAUCAUAAUCAUCAGCAAUUGUGAUAGGAUUUGAUAUGUGCAUUGGUCACAUAGCGUGUUAGUAAUUGUUUCCUUUUUAACAAUGAAGAGUAGUCUAUUUCAUUGGAUAGUUUGGUGUUUAGCUACAACAUUAGCUGCUAGGUUUGUUGUUGUAGCAUUAACUGCUUGUUGUAAACUUGAUUUUUAAAAAA